GUAGAGAGAAGCUUUGCUUCUCUUGAGAGCGGCGGACGGGUGAGUAAUGCCUAGGAAUCUGCCUGGUAGUGGGGGAUAACGUUCGGAAACGGACGCUAAUACCGCAUACGUCCUACGGGAGAAAGCAGGGGACCUUCGGGCCUUGCGCUAUCAGAUGAGCCUAGGUCGGAUUAGCUAGUUGGUGGGGUAAUGGCUCACCAAGGCGACGAUCCGUAACUGGUCUGAGAGGAUGAUCAGUCACACUGGAACUGAGACACGGUCCAGACUCCUACGGGAGGCAGCAGUGGGGAAUAUUGGACAAUGGGCGAAAGCCUGAUCCAGCCAUGCCGCGUGUGUGAAGAAGGUCUUCGGAUUGUAAAGCACUUUAAGUUGGGAGGAAGGGUUGUAGAUUAAUACUCUGCAAUUUUGACGUUACCGACAGAAUAAGCACCGGCUAACUCUGUGCCAGCAGCCGCGGUAAUACAGAGGGUGCAAGCGUUAAUCGGAAUUACUGGGCGUAAAGCGCGCGUAGGUGGUUUGUUAAGUUGGAUGUGAAAUCCCCGGGCUCAACCUGGGAACUGCAUUCAAAACUGACUGACUAGAGUAUGGUAGAGGGUGGUGGAAUUUCCUGUGUAGCGGUGAAAUGCGUAGAUAUAGGAAGGAACACCAGUGGCGAAGGCGACCACCUGGACUAAUACUGACACUGAGGUGCGAAAGCGUGGGGAGCAAACAGGAUUAGAUACCCUGGUAGUCCAC
rnacentral:rRNA from 1 species